rnacentral:rRNA from 1 species
UAUGGUGCAAGCGUUAUCCGGAUUUACUGGGUGUAAAGGGAGCGCAGGCGGUGCGGCAAGUCUGAUGUGAAAACCUGGGGCUCAACCCCGGGACUGCAUUGGAAACUACCGAACUAGAGUGUCGGAGAGGUAAGUGGAAUUCCUAGUGUAGCGGUGAAAUGCGUAGAUAUUAGGAGGAACACCAGUGGCGAAGGCGGCUUACUGGACGAUAACUGACGCUGAGGCUCGAAAGCGUGGGGAGCAAA